CGGACGGGUGAGUAACACGUGGAUAACCUACCUAUAAGACUGGGAUAACUUCGGGAAACCGGAGCUAAUACCGGAUAAUAUAUUGAACCGCAUGGUUCAAUAGUGAAAGACGGUUUUGCUGUCACUUAUAGAUUGGAUCCGCGCCGCAUUAGCUAGUUGGUAAGGUAACGGCUUACCAAGGCAACGAUGCGUAGCCGACCUGAGAGGGUGAUCGGCCACACUGGAACUGGAGACACGGUCCAG
rnacentral:rRNA from 1 species